CGGUAAUACAGAGGGUACAAGCGUUAAUCGGAAUUACUGGGCGUAAAGCGCGCGUAGGUGGUUUGUUAAGUUGGAUGUGAAAUCCCCGGGCUCAACCUGGGAACUGCAUUCAAAACUGACUGACUAGAGUAUGGUAGAGGGUGGUGGAAUUUCCUGUGUAGCGGUGAAAUGCGUAGAUAUAGGAAGGAACACCAGUGGCGAAGGCGACCACCUGGACUAAUACUGACACUGAGGUGCGAAAGCGUGGGGAGCAAACAGGAUUAGAUACCCGUG
rnacentral:rRNA from 1 species